AGUGAACGCUGGCGGCAUGCCUUACACAUGCAAGUCGAACGGUAACAGGUCUUCGGAUGCUGACGAGUGGCGAACGGGUGAGUAAUACAUCGGAACGUGCCUAGUAGUGGGGGAUAACUACUCGAAAGAGUGGCUAAUACCGCAUGAGAUCUACGGAUGAAAGCAGGGGAUCGCAAGACCUUGUGCUACUAGAGCGGCCGAUGGCAGAUUAGGUAGUUGGUGGGAUAAAAGCUUACCAAGCCGACGAUCUGUAGCUGGUCUGAGAGGACGAUCAGCCACACUGGGACUGAGAAACGGCCCCGACUCCUACGGGAGGCAGCAGUGGGGAAUUUUGGACACUGGGCGCAAGCCUGAUCCAGCAAUGCCGCGUGCAGGAUGAAGGCCUUCGGGUUGUAAACUGCUUUUGUACGGAACGAAAAGCCCCGGGUUAAUACCCUGGGGUCAUGACGGUACCGUAAGAAUAAGCACCGGCUAACUACGUGCCAGCAGCCGCCGUAA
rnacentral:rRNA from 1 species